rnacentral:tRNA from 1 species
GGGGGUGUAGCUCAGUCUGGAGGAGCGCCUGCUUUGCACGCAGGAGGUCACCGGUUCAAAUCCGGUCAUCUCCACCA